rnacentral:lncRNA from 1 species
AUGGGCCUGUGUUUUCCCCUUUUAAAAUGCCAUUUUGGAAAUCGGCUCUCCCCCGGAGAAUACAUUAAGGUUUCUCAAAGCACCUUGGGAACUGCUGUGCUAAGUCCGGGUUGCCCCCAUUGGCGUGGCGGCCACAGGGAGCAGCGGAAGGAGGCGGCGGCCACCACCUCCAGCGACUGGCCAAGAGAGAUGCUCAGACUUCCCCACGGAGGGCCCUCUUCUGGACCAAGCUCGUGUUCUGCACUUCCUGAAAGAGAGAGCAAGCCAGAGGGAACCUGGUUAUCGUCCUGGGAUGUGGAAUUGAUCCCUGCUCCCUUGGUCCUGUAUGUUGGUGUGAACUCACAAGGUGAGGCAGUAGAAGACAAGAUAGAUGUAAAUCAAAACCCUCCUCUGGGUCUGUGAAAUCCGCUUGACUGGUUAAAGCCUUAGUUUCCUAAUCUUGAAAAUGGGGUUAACACCAUCCUUUUAUCUUCCUUACGUGGUUGCUGUGGUUUCAAAUGGGAUAAUGUCCUUGGCUGGGUACACUUUAUAUGCUGGAAAUGGAAGUGACACUGACUGAACCUUGAUUAGGAGCCAUGUGCUGGGCUGAGUGUCUUUGCAGACCUCAUCUCCUGUGCAGGAUUUGGAUAUGAUUACACAGCAUGACUGUCCUAAUUGUCUUUGAUUAUUGUAAAGCAAAUUCCCUGCUCUAGUUCUUUGCUCCCUCACCGUGGAGACCUCCAAUCCCAUUAUGUCUUCCUGAGUUGUUUCUAAUAGCCUCACUCAGCCUCUCCCUGGGUGAGUAACUCACUGUAGCCCUGUGACCCUGGACACAGCCUGCACAAAAGCAAGGACCACCCAGUAACUCAGGCUCCAGGUUGUGCAGCCAUCUCAGGGCUCCCAUUUCUUUCCUGCCCCCAACUUUCAGCAAAUUAAAAAGAUUUGUCAAUUCCACCUUUGCAGUUACUCCUGAAUUCAUUUCCACUCCUCUCUCCUUAGCUAUCCGCCUAUUUCAGGUUGUUGUUAGGUCUCUCUCAGAAAUCCCCUAAGCCCCCUGCUGGUGGAGGCUGGGCCUUCCUGAAGGCAGCUGAGGAGGCAGCAGGCCUCUGUCUAGGGCCUUGGUCUUAGGAUUCACUUUGACAUUGACUGACUCCUACUUCCUCAGCUCUAGCGGUGGUGCUGAGAGGGUGACUUGAUGACAUGAGUUGCAGGGCUUUAGCUACCCCAUAAUUUCCAUCACAACUUAUUAGACCCACCCUAAAAAUAUACCAUCCAAGUUUAAUUAGGUUCACAUAGCUUUAAGCCACCAAUAUCCCUUCUGAUGAGUGUGUCAUUGCGGAGUUCCCUCUAAUGUAGGAAUUCCAGAGCCAUGGGACCUAGCCCUGUAACUGGGUUUUCUUGACAUCUUCCUGGUCUGAUUUGACCUACUCUGUAUGCUGGAUUCAGCUUUGCUGACUGUUUUGCCUGUUUCUAAAUUUUGAUUUUAUUCAUCUUUUAGACUCCUGACUUCUUCAAUUACCCAUGGUCUGUUCCUAUUCUAGACCACACUAAUUCACCUACAAAUGAAGGGAAUGAGGAAUACUGUAGAAUGAGACAUAAAAAGUGAAGUUUGAAGAUGGUGGAUUUAACACUGGUUUGACUAUUUUACAUUAAGACCAGACACACACACACACACACACUCAUAUAUAGGCUCGUAAGUAAUUACUGAAACUAAUGUUCACAUAAAUAGUACCUAACACUAGCACAUGUAAUGAAUUCUGAUCUUUUCUAUUCUAUUGUAUUCAAUUUUUGCAAAAAAGUUACCAUUUCUGACCCAGCAACUUCUCCUGAUGGACUAAAGCAGCUGAUUUUGCUGUAUAUAGGUGUUGUUCUAAGGAAAAGUGGAACUGAGCUGGGAAGGAUCUCAUAUCUAAGAGUUACCAAGGUUCUAUCAAAAUUUGAAUUGUUUAUGAGUUGUCUCCUCUUCUUACAGUUUUUUUGUAAGAGGGAAAGGCAGAGGGAGAAAGAGAUCUUCUAUCUGGUUGGUCAUUAUCCAAGUGUCCCUGAUAGCCAGGCCUAGGCCAGGCCAAAGCUAGGAGCCCAGAACUCCAUCCAGAUCUCCCUCAUGAGUGGCAGGGACCCCAGUCCUUGGGUCAUCAUCUGCUUCCCUACAGGUACAUUAGCAGGAAGCCAGAUCAGAAGUGGAGUAGCUGGGACUUAAACCAGGCACUCUGAUAUGAGAUGCAGGCCUCCUAAGAAACAGUUUAACCUGGUGCACCACAACACCCAUUCCUCCUAAUCUUUUAUCUAGUAUGUGUGGGUGCAUUGGGGGGAGCCCCAAUUUCUCUCUUUCAGAAGCAUGUGUCUAAAGUAUAACAAUUUUUAGAAGUACUUAUAUUUCAAUCAAAUGACUGAAGGUAUUUGUAUCAAAAAUGUUUUGUCUGUUAUCUGCAAUCAGGGAUUGAGAAAUGAAGCAUGGUUGCUGGUGAGUAAUUCAGCCAUUCACGUGAGCAAUUCUGAUUCAUCAUGUACUAUCCGUUCUACUGUUGGGGAAUUGGAGAUGGAAGUGUGGAUGGCUAGAAGGUCCUCAGUUCUAGUCUAGAAGAAGCAAGUUUCUUCUUUCAGCCUGGGAAGGAACUUUGAUGGUGACAGCUGAUGCAGUUAGAGGACCUGGAGAAGAACCCCACUUACAAAGAGCUUGGAUCCCAGGAAUCCUCAGCACUGAGUUUACUGUGGAAUUGCCUGGAAGCUUUUAUUUAUUUACUUUGUAACUUUUUAUUAUGAAAAAAUCCAAACAUGUAUGAAAGUGUAGAGAAAGAUACAAUGAUCCCCCAUGUGUCAACCGCUCAGGUUUGAUUGCUAUAAACUCAAGGCCAAUUUCCUUUGUCUAUACUUGACCCAAUCCUGCAUCUCCCUCAGUAUUUUGAAGUAAAACCCAGAUGUAAUAUCAUUUCAUCUCCAAAUGUUUCAUUUCUUAUUUUUAAAAGAUGAUAACUUCAUUUUUAAAAGAAAACCACAUAGGGAGCUUUUGAAGAAUCCAAAUUCCUGGAUCCCAUGCCAAUUAAAUCAGAGCAUGUGGGGCAUGGAACCCAAGCACUGGUGUUUUCACAAAGCUCUGAGGAGAUGCUAAUGCUAUUAUCAUAACUAUUUGGGGCAAAAAUUGAAUGGUGAGGGCUGAGGAUCCCUAUGCAGGGCAGUCAUAGGUGGAAAACAGCUGCAGCAGCUGCCUCCAUUAGGAUGAGGGUCACUUCUGCCCUUGUCUCUGUCCACCCUCAGCCUCAGCAAACCACCUCACCUCCCACUUGACCUCUCUGUAGGUAACUCCCGACAUCCACAUCUCCAAGUCCUGAUCCAGCUUUUAACUCUAAUCUCAGAUACCUCACUUGCUAUAGAUCAUUUCCACUAGUAAGUUCUGUCACUUAAGACUGAAUAUUCUUAAAACAGACGUUUCCUCUGUCCCCUAAACCAGCUCCCUCUCUGGAUGGCUUCAUUUUUGUCAUCAGGAUGGUUGUCUUUUUUAUUUUUCAUUGUCACUCCUACACAAACCAGAACCUAAACAGAAUUUCCACAUUUGAUGUGACUCACAUCCAGCCCAUUUUUUUUUUUUUCCCGUAUUCUCACUUCUCCUUUGGUCCCUUGUCCUUUUAGGCUAUACUAUUGCAAUAACUUUGGAAUUAGUUCCUUCUCCUCUUUUCUCUUCGGCUUCCACCCCUCUUCACAUUCACAAGUCAUAUGUGUCUUCUUAGAACACAGCUGUAUGGCUUGCCCUGUGGUGAACAAGGUUUAGCCUCCCCCGCCUGUGAUGUCAGCAUCCCUUAGGGGCGUCAGUUCAAGUACUGGCGGCUCUACUUCCCAUCCAGCUCCCUUCUUAUGUGCCUGGGAAAGCAAUGGAGAAUGGCACGAGUCCUUGAGCCUCUGCACUUGAAUGGGUGAUCUGGAAGAAGCUCCUGGCUCCUGGCUUUGGAUCUGCCCAGCUCCGGCCGUUGCGGCCACCUGGGGAGUGAACCAGCGGAUGGAAGGCCUCUCCAUCUGUCUCUCCCUCUCUUUGUCUGUAACUCUGCCUCUCAAAUAAAUAAAUAAAUAUUUUUUAAAAAGGAACA